AUGUUUUCUCUUUUUAUAUAUAAACAGAACAUGUUGCUGCAUGUCUUGUUUAGCCGAGAGCAGAAUGUCAGGCUGUGUGAUCCAACACUUGAUGGCUUCCUAAAAGAAGGCUGGAACCAGUGUCCAGCAGCAUCUGAACAUCACCACCCAAAGCUGUCAGCCCUACCUUCUUGCUGAGGGAGCAACAAGAAUCACACCUACUUCCUUGUGACUGACAGGAGUGUACACACCUAAAAAGGGCGGGACAAGUCACACUAUCAAGUCGAAAAGAAAACAAACGCUGUGGACGACAGGAAUGAGAAAACAACUAUUGAUGGGGCCAAAUGUGCCAAGGUUUCAAGACUCUGAAGAGAAAUGGAGGGGCGUUUCACGAAGCGCAUAUCCAGGCAUGCUUCUUUAGGGGAGGAGCCAAAAAUGUGGACGUGUGACGCCUUGUUGCAAAAUUGUACCAUGUGACCGCUUCGGGACGCGGUUCAGCCUCACUGCCCGUUUGUACCACGUAACAGUUUUGGAAUGCGGAUUCAGUUUUGCCAGAACAUUAGAUAACUCAUAAACCACCCAAGCUCCAUUGAAAAUGUGGGCUUUUGAGACUUGUGGUCAGUUCUGGAUAGAUUUUUAAAAUGCCACAAGAAUCAAAGAAGAUCGACAAACUGAAUUCAAUCGACAAACCUGAUAUCCAUGUAAUGACUAUUAAAUACGCUUCUUUUAUUGUUGACAUUGUCAGAACUUUGGUAGCACGAUGGUAAGACGUGGGUUUGAUUCUCUGCAAUGUCAGUUCCCAAAUCACUGACAACAUUACGUUUAUUAAAGUAACGUAUUCUGUAUUUAUUCUUUUUAACCAGCUCUCAGAAAUCCAUAGCUGGAUAAUGAAGGGAUUUUGUCAGAAAAAAAAAAGAAAGAAUCGCCUAAAACCAAAAAUAAAAAUGUACUAAAUCUCCUCUGUUCUGUACAUCCUUGUCCAAGUUACAUUAUAUUGUCAUCUUCCUCUUUAUGCCAUUUCCUCAAGAUGACUGAAAAAUA